rnacentral:lncRNA from 1 species
AUGUGUGUCUCAGCAAGACUUCCACAGAGAAGCCUCAACAUGUGUGCAAGCUUUACAGAGGUAGCAAAUCCUCUGAGGGAUGGAGUCAACUGUAAAAUGACAGAAAUGACAGUGGUCAGUGAAAGAAAUCUGGGACUUCUACACUUCAGGCAUUCAGUAAGGAAGAUGAAACAAACAGCACAGGGUGAAGUCUCAGUGAGAAGACCUUCCUGUGCCACAGAGAAGGACAGGACAUUGACAGCUUUGAGUUCUCAUGAAUUUUCAGCAGUGAGUCCAUCUGGGAAUAAUUUGUUUGUGAGAAGAAGGCUUCCAUUCUAUCAAGAAAAAAGGCUGCACGGAAUUCACAAAACACUAGAGCAGAAAGUACCAGUCAUUGUUUGA